GACGAACGCUGGCGGCGUGCUUAACACAUGCAAGUCGAACGAUGCAGCCGGAGCUUGCUCCGGUGGAUUAGUGGCGAACGGGUGAGUAACACGUGAGCAAUCUGCCCUUGACUCUGGGAUAACUGCGGGAAACUGUAGCUAAUACCGGAUACGACACCUUGGGGCAUCCCAGGGUGUGGAAAGAAUUUCGGUCAAGGAUGAGCUCGCGGCCUAUCAGCUAGUUGGUGAGGUAAUGGCUCACCAAGGCGACGACGGGUAGCCGGCCUGAGAGGGUGACCGGCCACACUGGAACUGAGACACGGUCCAGACUCCUACGGGAGGCAGCAGUGGGGAAUAUUGCACAAUGGGCGAAAGCCUGAUGCAGCAACGCCGCGUGAGGGAUGAAGGCCUUCGGGUUGUAAACCUCUUUUAGCAGGGAAGAAGCGAAAGUGACGGUACCUGCAGAAAAAGCACCGGCUAACUACGUGCCAGCAGCCGCCGCCG
rnacentral:rRNA from 1 species